UACGAAGGGGGCUAGCGUUGCUCGGAAUUACUGGGCGUAAAGGGCUCGUAGGUGGCCAACUAAGUCAGACGUGAAAUCCCUCGGCUUAACCUGGGAACUGCGUCUGAUACUGGAAGGCUUGAGUGCGGGAGAGGGAUGUGGAAUUCCAGGUGUAGCGGUGAAAUGCGUAGAUAUCUGGAGGAACACCGGUGGCGAAGGCGGCAUCCUGGACCGACACUGACGCUGAGGCGCGAAAGCUAGGGUAGCAAACAGG
rnacentral:rRNA from 1 species